rnacentral:rRNA from 1 species
UACGAAGGGGACUAGCGUUGUUCGGAAUCACUGGGCGUAAAGCGCACGUAGGCGGAUUCGUAAGUCAGGGGUGAAAUCCCGGGGCUCAACCUCGGAACUGCCUUUGAUACUGCGGGUCAUGAGUCCGAUAGAGGUGGGUGGAAUUCCUAGUGUAGAGGUGAAAUUCGUAGAUAUUGGGAAGAACACCGGUGGCGAAGGCGGCGACCUGGUCCGUGACUGACGCUGAGGCGCGAAAGCGUGGGGAGCAAACAGG